CGUACACUCCUACGGGAGGCAGCAGUGGGGAAUAUUGCACAAUGGGCGCAAGCCUGAUGCAGCGACGCCGCGUGGGGGAUGAAGGCCUUCGGGUUGUAAACUCCUUUCGCUAGGGACGAAGCUUUUUUGUGACGGUACCUAGAUAAGAAGCACCGGCUAACUACGUGCCAGCAGCCGCGGUAAUACGUAGGGUGCGAGCGUUGUCCGGAAUUACUGGGCGUAAAGGGCUCGUAGGUGGUUUGUCGCGUCGUCUGUGAAAUUCUGGGGCUUAACUCCGGGCGUGCAGGCGAUACGGGCAUAACUUGAGUGCUGUAGGGGUAACUGGAAUUCCUGGUGUAGCGGUGAAAUGCGCAGAUAUCAGGAGGAACACCGAUGGCGAAGGCAGGUUACUGGGCAGUUACUGACGCUGAGGAGCGAAAGCAUGGGUAGCGAACAGGAUUAGAAACCCUAGUAGUCCCA
rnacentral:rRNA from 1 species